CCUGGGCCGGUGUUCUUGAACUCGGCGUAGAAGAGCGUGCUGAGGGCGAAGUCGCCGUCCCACGGCAGCCACCCCGCCGGGUCGAUCAGCUGGUCCAAGAACGACUGCAUGACGAUGGUGCGGGAGUAGAGCUUCCACGGCCGGCCAAGGUAGGUCUUCGCUUUACUUGCAUUCUUCGCCAGAUCCGGGGCGGCCAGGAUCCUGCACCCCUGGAUCGAGGUUCCGGUGUUCUGGUUCGGGUCCGUCCUGCCCUGGGCGGUGACCAUGUUUUUCUGGCCCGUCAACGGCAGUCUGGCGUACAUGUUGCAGGCCUGGAAAACAACGGCAGCGUUGCCGAAGAUGAAGUCCACCGUGCCGUAGAUGUCGCACUGGCGGUAGAACUGGCGGAGGGAGUGGGUGUAGAGGGUAUCCUGGUACCCCUCAAAGCUGCAUCUGUGGAACGUCGACUGGUCCGCCCCGUUGCGGACCGCCACUGCCUGAUGCUUGGCUGCCCCCGCCGUGUUUCUGAAGGUGAUGUUCAUAGCCACGAACCCUUGGCCAACCACCGCUGCCAGGUUUUUCGGACGUUUAUAUAGCGUAUAAUUAAAAACAAUAAGCAACAACCUAUCUUAUCAAUGUGCCGUGAUAUCUAAAGAAACAGGUGGCAUGAUGCGGUCAACGUACCGAAAGUCGCAGAGUUGAAAGUCGUCCACCCGUCAACGACGCUCCGGUUCCCGGUGAUGAUCGUCCGGCCGAUCCCAUCGCCGACCAUCAUCAAAUACUUCUUGUUCUU
rnacentral:lncRNA from 1 species